rnacentral:pre_miRNA from 1 species
UACCCUCACCGGUCGUGCAAGGUGGGACACAGCUCGCACUAGGCUUUGUACUACUGGCGAGGGUAGU